GUGUAGUGAGCGUUCUCCCAGGUGUCCCUUCCCUGCUCAAAGCUUUUGCUGGUUUGAGUAUACGUGCCUUGAGGAUACUGGCCAGUCAGGAAAAGGAAGUCAUAGGAAGGGUACUGAAGUGGGUAAGGGACCAGGCCUGGUGGCACAGGUCCUCCACUAAAGCCUGGUGAAGGUGGUGCAGCGUAGACAGGAGGGGGUGCUGGCAUGGAACCUCCCUCUUCUGUCUCAGAAUCA